rnacentral:lncRNA from 1 species
CACCAUCUGGGUUUGAAUCCAGACUCUACCACAUACUGCUGAAUUUGGGCACAAGUUAAAUUCCUUAAUCUCUCUAAGCCUCAGUUUCUCCAUGUGUAAAGGGGGUCUAAUAACAGUACUUCCCGCUUCCCCUACAAAAGGGAUAAUAAGAAGCCUAAACGAGAUCUUGCACGUGAAGACCCCCACACCGUGGAACACGGGGUUCAAUAACGUAUUUGUUAUCUCUUCAGUCAUCCCAACUGAGAAGGAGCAACACUGCUCUCUAUUUACAUGUGAGGUUCAGAGAGGUUAGCCACAUGUCCAAGGUCACACAGCCAGGAAGCAGCUUUCUCCUCCUUCAUGCUCUGUCCUGAGGGCCGUGUGGCUGAUGGCGAAUUUAGCCAAGCUGGCUAAUUGGUGAGACACCAAAGAAAGCAGGAACGCACCUAUGAGUUAGAGUCCAGAGCGACCGGGUCCGUCUACUCUACCGCCGCACACCCCUCCCGCCCGCCUGGCUCGGUCCUGGGGGGACUCACGCGAAAAUCAAAGCCACCGACAACUUCACAACGACUAUGUGCACGCCCGGACACUCAAGAGGAGCGGAAAACUCACACAGAGCAAGGAAGCAACGUUUGUGACGAUUUUACUGGCCCUUCUGCCAUUUCUAGCUUUGCCCCUCCCCCCUCAACACAUCUUAUUCACAAUUUGCAUCGCACAUCAUUAUUUCCUGGGGAUCCAGAGGAAUGCUUUCCUUCUGAGAUCUUUUUCUUUCUUUCUUUCCUUUUUUAUUUUUUCUUUUUGGUUCAAUAUCCAAAGUUUAAAACAGAAGUCAGGAACCAGGAAGCAUAUGCGGACGUCCAGUGUCUGGUUUGUACGCCGUGGACGGUAAAUGUCAGUGACCUCCGGCUGCAAAUGCAGGUGUCCUCUCAGCAUCUGAACAGCGAAGGGAAAUGGAUUGUGCCAAAUAUCCGAGUAAUUGUGUAAGGCCCUCAGAGCUGGGUUUUGGCUUCAGCAAGAUUUCUAUACAAUUUACCACAUUCUUGAACCUCUUUAUAAAGGGGAAAAGAAGGAACCCAAUCCUGUGAUUGUUAAUUUUAAUUAGAGUAGAUAUGUACAUAUAAUACUGUCCAGGUCACCUGGAUUUUACAGUGAUAUAUAAACAAACAUUCUUCAUUCACGUUGAUUAAAAAAGAAAAACAUAUCAAUGGACCCAUUUCCUCGUGUAAAUAUCAUGGCCGGAAGUGAGCGCACAUGCGUUUUGUGCUUUGACCCACACAAAAAUACACCGUUAUCCAUUGAGAAAAAUCUUGGGCGGGGUCUAGUUCCCGGAUGAGGGGACAUCUUGCUAAAAAAGGUUGGAUUCCGUUGGGCCUCUGCACUCUGCUUUUGGAAUCAAAAUGCAAAGCCACGUGCUUCCGUGGCAAAUCCAUGGGCAAAGACAACAAGUGGGCAUGGUUGGCACGGUGGGCGGGUCUGGUCUUGACAGAGCAGGAGGAACACUGUGGCCCUCAGGAAAGUGUCCUCUGAGACGGUGUGAUCAUUAAAGAAAAGGUAUCCUAAAAUGGUCAGAUCAUGCAGUUUUCUUCUGGAGGCAGUUCAGUGCAUCUGAGCGAGGAGCUCGGGUGCAGACGUGGGGCAGAGUGGGGAGUCCUGAAGUUACCCAACGGCGAGGAGCACCGGGGUCUUCUCCAUUCUCCAUUCCGAGUCUCGGACCCUCGUCAUCAUCCCACCUGCUCUGUCCUGCUUCACGGGAUGAAGAGACGUCUCCAGAACCUUCCAGGCUAGACUGUCCCUUUAAUAUGAGCCACCAAUGC